rnacentral:rRNA from 1 species
GGAAUAUUGGUCAAUGGGCGCAAGCCUGAACCAGCCAUGCCGCGUGAGGGAAGAAGGCCCUAUGGGUUGUAAACCUCUUUUGCCUGGGGGCAAUAAGGCGCAUGCGUGCGUUGAUGAGAGUACCAGGCGAAUAAGCAUCGGCUAACUCCGUGCCAGCAGCCGCGGUAAUACGGAGGAUGCGAGCGUUAUCCGGAUUUAUUGGGUUUAAAGGGUGCGCAGGCGGUCGAUUAAGUCAGCGGUGAAAUGUCCCGGCUCAACCGGGGAGCUGCCGUUGAUACUGGUUGGCUUGAGUGCGAACGGCGCCGGCGGAAUGAGUGGUGUAGCGGUGAAAUGCAUAGAUAUCACUCAGAACACCGAUCGCGAAGGCAGCUGGCGAGGACGUUACUGACGCUGAGGCACGAAAGCGUGGGGAUCAAACA